UACGGGGGGGGCAAGCGUUGUUCGGAAUUACUGGGCGUAAAGGGCUUGUAGGUGGCCAACUAAGUCAGACGUGAAAUCCCUCGGCUUAACCGGGGAACUGCGUCUGAUACUGGAUGGCUGGAGUACCGGAGAGGAGGGUGGAAUUCCAGGUGUAGCGGUGAAAUGCGUAGAUAUCUGGAGGAACACCGGUGGCGAAGGCGGCAUCCUGGACCGGUAUUGACGCUGAGGCGCGAAAGCUAGGGGAGCAAACGGG
rnacentral:rRNA from 1 species